rnacentral:lncRNA from 1 species
ACCCAAGAGUUACCAUGCAUGAUCCGUGAAUGAUGGGUAUCAGGCCUGGACCAGGUCUGAUUCUAUAACGGUCCAGCAUCGACGGCCAUCACUGCUGAAUCGAGGCUGUUGCUCUGGCCUGGACCAGUAUCUAUUUCAGUCCCGAUGUAGUCAUAGCUGAUACAGUAGUGUCUGUUCGUCAGCACUGGUCCAGGCUGUAUAUCAGUACUGGAUCAGAUUGAUGCUUUUUAAGAUGGCAGCCCCGUGUGGACUAUCUGACAUGUUUUGUUAAAGAAAAUCAUCUUAAUCUGACUUUUUAAGAGGAAUCUUGUUGGCUGUAUACACUAGGGCUAAAUCACUGGAUGUUAUUAUUGAGCCAAGCAUUGAAACAGAGCCAGAAAACCUUUCUGCAAUAAUCAUGACACUGGUGAAGACGAUGAGAAAUCAGGCGUAAAAAUGGUUCACUACAUGUGAUUGUAACUAUGUUUUUAAUUAGGGUGAAUGUAUUAGUGAUCAUGAUGAUGAAGAUAUUGUACUGAGAGACUUAUGAAUGAUAGUCACAAGUGUGAAUUUUUGAUGCGGAAGAUUAUUCUGGAAAUAUUAGUAUAGUAGGUGCUCCUUUAAUUCAUAUUAAUUUAUUAAUUUAGCAAGGCCACUAGUAUACAUUCUAUAGUUACCUUAUCUCACUAAGUUUCAAGACAAGAAUAUCUUAGCUCUUGUUAAGUUCACUUCAAAUAGCAUUGAAUUUUUUUGUGAACCUGCCUUCAUCAUGCUGGUUAAGGAAGCUUUGUAGGACUAUGUGUGACAAGAUACCUUUGAAAGAUCUGCUUCACUACAUGGAACCCGAGAGUUCAUUAAUGUUGGAGAUUUUGGGAAAUUAAUUUCUCAGUAAUGUGUCUUAACUUACAAAACAUGAAGUGUCUUACUUGUAGAACAUUGGUAGACUAUGAUGAAGAAAACAAUUA